ACAGAUCACCCAGGAAACCUGCUGGUCAGACAGAGCUGAGUUAUCGAGCGCCUGGCAAGGACGGACAUUAGCUGACAGUCUUAGUAAUGAUUCUAAAGGAGAUGGCUGUCCAGUUGCCCAGCGUCAGUUAUUACAGAGGCCAUCCUUUCUCCACUGCCCUUCGAUGCGUUUUAUUUGUAAGUCGCCCAUCUGCGUACGCUCAGGUCUAUUUCUGGGCUCUCUGCCAUGUGCCAGCGGCCGAAUCUCACUCCUGCGGCGUCUCAGGGCAACUUGUCAGGUUCUACAAGAAGAUACUGCCAGGGGGUUGAUCGGAACUGCAUCACACUUAGAUCAACUUUAGGAGGGCAUCAAACUGUGGUUUUGGGUCACAUCUCCUCAAUUACUAAUAAUGUUGAGCAUCAUCUCAUGUGCUUCUUGGCCAUUUAUGUACCUUCCUUGGAGAAAUGUCCGUUAAGUCCUUUGCUGAUUUUAAAAUUGGGCUGUCAUUUUGCUACUGAGUUCUAAGAGUUCUUUAUAUAUUCUGGAUACUAGGCUCAUCAGCUAUGUGAUUUGUGGAUAUUUUCUCCCAUUCUGAGUUUCCUUUUCACUCUCUUGACAGUGUCCUUUGAUGCACAAAAGAUGUUAAGUUUAGGG